CCAUGAACCACUGUCAAGACAACGCUGCUGAAAUUUGUGAGACGCAACUGUUCACUCAUUGUUAAAUUCAAGGAGGUGAUGUACCUACAACAAAAUCAUCAAUGUCAAGGGAAGACAGAAGGACAAAGCCAAGCGGGAAAAUUGAAAUGUCAAAGCACAAAACAAACAAAGAGCUGGUGUCUUCCUACCCUAAUCUAGCUAACCAGAAAUUCAACUCUUCAUUUUCCCUACUACACAAUUAAGAAGUGUCCACAAAGUUGAAAGAUGGAAAUGUUUUGAACAGAGAAAAAGAGAAAUUUAGAGAAAAGAACGGUAGCUAAGGGAGUUCACAUGUGGAUACUUGUUUCUGAUGAUCUUCCUAUUUAAGUACAUACGAAUGGGCCCUUAAGGAGAGAGUAUAAAAAAGCUAAUAAAGAAGACAUCUUUGCUACCUCAAGGAGCAAUGAAGUAAAGAAGACAAGCAGUCUUCACUAGGUCUUUCAGGUACCAGGCACAGGAAGGCAAAGGAGAUGGACUCUUCUUGAUGGUCAAAGCUAAGGACGCACAAAUCUUUCUAAAUCAAGUGAGAAACUGGCAUGGAGCAGGAAAAGAGCAUUCCACAUGCCAGCAGUAGAAAUGAAUAUCUUGGCCUCCUUUCCUUAUCGUCCCCCAUGGCUACCAGUAAAACCAUCAC